rnacentral:tRNA from 1 species
AUCCACUUAACUCAACGGUCAGAGUAUCAAUUUUAAAUGAUGAGAGUCAUUGCUUCAAAUCCAAUAGUAGGUA